UGUUUUUCUUCCUUAGAGCCAAGGGUUUAAAGUCCCUACUCUGUUUCUUCCAUUUUUCUCCUUUAUUUCUCAAGAAAAGGAGCAAACCCAAGAAGAAAAAAGAGACAAAUUUAAGGGAAAAAAAGGGAGAGACAAAAUUUAAGAAAAAAAAUUCAGGUUAAAAAAAAGGAAAGAGAGGACAGAUUAAGAGAGAGAGAGACAGAGAGAGA
rnacentral:misc_RNA from 1 species